CCCUAGGGAAAGGGGGAGCUGGGAAGAACGGAGUUAGCGGGAAAAGCCGGGGAGGGAGAGUUCAGGUUCCUUCCCCAGCCUUCAAAUGUUAUAUGUUCAUUAACUAUGACCUGAACACCCACCCACUGGUGCAGAGCAAUGACUUCAGACAUCGUGCACGCCUGCCCUUGGAUGCCGGAGGAGAGAAGGGUGCAGAAUGGCAUGCGGCCCACCGCUUUCCUCUCUCCCUGGCCACGUUUCUCCUGCUCUUACAAGGCUGGCCUGUGGGGAAUAAUAAUUGGCCAUUCCGCAGGGCAUCUACCUUGAAUCCAAGUCUCCACUGGAGGAAAACCCAAGACCUCCUGGGGGGGGGAGUUGUCAUCACAAUCUCCUGGUGAGAUGCUCCCAACUCCCAACUGCCCUUCCCCAACUGCCAUUUCUAACAGCCAUCCUCAGCCACUCCUAGAAAGGCUCUUAGAGGGCUGAAGGUAUCUCCGAAAUUGCCAGAGGGUUUGGAGUGAAGAAAAUGUCUCUGAGCCUAGGAUGGAAUCCCAAGUCUGGCACUGGUCUUGCAGAAUUUAGUUUCCUCAUGGCUCCCUGGAGUAAGGCUGAGCUUCAGAAGAGGAGACAUUCUGGCUGCUCACCAGGACAGGGUGAUCAUCAAUGUGGGUUUUCUGAGGCUCUUGAAAAGAUAAAUAAAGACUACAGUAGAGUGGUUGGCAUCAGACCAGAACCACCUUGUUCCACAUGGCACAAAAAUCAGAUCUCAAGGAAAAGCAGUAUCCAUAGGAAGAGGCAGAGAAAAUUGUCCUGAGAGGAGGAGAAGGAUAAAUAACAGCAUAAUGGGAUAAUUUGUCUACAAAACAGAAGGACUAAUCUGGAAGGAGAAGCCAGGACAGGUAUGGGAGUUUCCUCUGAGAACUCCCAAACUGGGCCCUCCCUGUUUCCCCUGAUAGAAUGUACAAGGAAGACAGCAUUUGAGACUUCACUGUCAAGCUUGGAACUGAAGUUGUGAACUGAUAUGUGGGAGAAAAAGGGUUGAGGUGGGGGCCAUGGACCAUAAUACAGGCAACGUCCGUGUAACUAUUAAAGGUUUUAAAAGUACUUUACAUAUAUUAUUUCAUUUGGUCCUCAGCCUAAGUGGGUAAUACUGAUCUCUUGAUCUCCAUUUUUCCAAUAAGGAAAGGGGCUCAGUCUCAAGUGAUUUGUCCAUGGCAAUACAAAAUAGGUAAUAAAUUAGAGAGCCUAUUUGAAUCCA
rnacentral:lncRNA from 1 species